AUUGAACGCUGGCGGCAUGCCUUACACAUGCAAGUCGAACGGUAACAGGGAGCUUGCUCCGCUGACGAGUGGCGAACGGGUGAGUAAUGUAUCGGAACGUACCUUUUAGUGGGGGAUAACGUAGCGAAAGUUACGCUAAUACCGCAUAUUCUCUGAGGAGGAAAGCAGGGGACCUUCGGGCCUUGCGCUAAUAGAGCGGCUGAUAUCAGAUUAGCUAGUUGGGGAGGGAAAGGCUCACCAAGGCGACGAUCUGUAGCGGGUCUGAGAGGAUGAUCCGCCACACUGGAACUGAGACACGGUCCAGACUCCUACGGGAGGCAGCAGUGGGGAAUUUUGGACAAUGGGGGCAACCCUGAUCCAGCCAUGCCGCGUGAGUGAAGAAGGCCUUCGGGUUGUAAAGCUCUUUCGGCCGGGAAAAAAUCGCAUGGGUUAAUACCCUGUGUGGAUGAUGGUACCGGAAUAAGAAGCACCGGCUAACUACGUGCCAGCAGCCGCGGUAAGAC
rnacentral:rRNA from 1 species